ACAGGAUUGUGAUUUGUGUGAUUUGUCCCAUCAAACAGACUCAAGACAUUGACCAAUCCCAUAUAUAUAUCUCACACACACACGAGCCCCAACCCUAAUCCAAGCCCUACCAGUUCCCCAACACAGCACCUCCUAGGACAUCAUGUGUGGCAUUACUGCCCCCACAAAACAUUUAUUAACCCAACACUUUCUCCUCUCCAGGCAGAUAUGCUGAUUGGCCCCACAAAUGCUGACAAAGGAAUACCCCAGUCCAACUCUCAGCAAGUGGCAUUAGGAAUCCUGGGUGGUUCAGUUGGUUGAGCAUGGCACUUGCAACGCCAGGGUUGUGGGUUUGAUUCCCACAGAGGACUAGUAUUCAUAUAAAAGCUGUACAGGUUAUGAGCAGCAGGUGGUGGAGUGGUUCAAUCGAGACGGGUCCAAGACAGCUGGGGAGGAUGUAGCAGAAUGGAUCUUCCUGGUGUCUGAGGACAGGAUCCAAGUGACAUAUCAAGGGGAGGAUGACUGGGUUAUUCCUGCUUGGAGAAACUUCAAGCCCAGAGAUUCAGGGGAUUCCCAGAACCCACACUCCUUCACCCUUCAGAUGGCUCCCACCUAUUCACCUGGCAACCACCUUUCAGGUGUAAUCUUCAGGGGCAAUAAACAGUAGCUAAACAAUCUACAGAAUUUACACCUGGCUUUGAUCAUCUAUUUGGUGCCACCAGCAAUUUGAGAUAAAAUGUUCUUCCGUUAUGUGGGUUAAGUAACUAUGGUGUUUGUCCAAUGGACUUUAUGUAUGUGCUUUCAGGUAGAUCCAUUUUAGAAGCCAAGUAAGAAUAUGUAUGAAAUGUUAGUCCAUAUGAUGGAGGAGGAGAAUGUGGUAAAAUCAAGGAGUCUGAGAAAGAGGUGUACUAGACCUUUUCUGACAUGUCUUCAUAUUAGAGAAAUAUCAAAGUAAUAAACAGUUAAUAUUUUUACUCAGGUGAGGGGAAUACUGGGUGUAAGAGAACAAGAAGAGGGCAGUACUGAGCUUUACAUCUCCAUCUACAACACAGAGAGGAUGGCCAAAGAGGAGCGUCUUCGACAGGCGGUGAAGAAGCUGGACAUCUUAGCACCGUUUCAGGCCCAGCUGGGUGACCCAGAGAACCUGACCAGACAGGCUGCUAUACAGCUGACCUGAAGAAGUGACUUGUCGAUAAGGCCAACCUCAUACAUGCUCGUUUUGAGAGGGAGACCCAGGACCUUCAGUAGAAACAGCAGUGCUGCAGAAAAAACAGCCCACUAUGACCAAGGAGGAUGAAGAUGAAUACCUUGCUUACUGCUCUGAUGCCAUGUGCACGAUACAUAUUCUCAAACUGUGGUUGAGCAGCUUGAAUUCAACAUGGAUGAAAUGUUCUUACCCAUCUACACACAAUACCCUCCUAAUGACAAGGUGAAAAC